GGCAUAUAGCUAGAAAACUGGAGAAAAAUUAUAGAGACAAGGACAGUACAUAUAAAGAUAUACAAUUAUAAGAAUUUAAGAUGAACAAAUACAUUGAGAAGUAAAACAAAUACUAUCAAAGUACAGUGUAAAUGUGAUCAUUCCAAAACAACUCAGCAACAUCAUACAUGGACUAAUUUGAUUCUUGUCUUAGUUUAUUUGGUGGAGGAAUACGGAAAGCAAAACACAACACUCAAAACCAUUUGACAGCAAUACAUGAUAAUGCUGCACCGUACAUUGUAUUUAGCAAUAUUAACGCUAGGGGUUGCUGUACCUUCACAUGCACUUAAUCUACAGCCAUGUCCAACAGGUGAGGACUAUAGGCAGUUAAGUGAAUGUCUAUGUCUCCCUGACGACAGGGGUGAUGUCAUAGGAGUCGGUUGUAUGAAUACAACAAUGACGUCAUUACCCAAUCAUAUCCCUAGGUACGCAUCCAUAUUUUAUUUCGAUGAUAAUCGACUUGGCAGUAUUAUCAAGAUCCCAGCAAAUUACCAUCACCUGGAGUAUAUGUACAUGAGGAAUAAUGGAAUUCAGAAAAUCGAAAAACUAGCAUUCAAAAGCCCCGAAGAAGACCACGGAGUCCAUCUCCAUGAACUUGACCUAUCUAACAAUACAAUCCAACGUCUAUUUCAGGAGACACUCACCGGCCUGGAUCGACUAGAAAAUUUAACAUUAUAUGGAAAUCAAAUAUAUGAACUACAGAACGCAUUUGCCGAUCUAAAAUCCUUAAGGUUGAUAGACUUGAGGAAUAAUAAACUCCGAAGACUCGAAGAUAACAUAUUUGCCAAUCUUCCCAACCUUACGGAUGUUGCCUUGGAAAUGAACAACUUCCAAGGAGGUAUUCCUUACAAGGCCUUAAGCGUGUUAAAACAGACGCAAAUGCUGAACCUGCGUUCGUGCAGCAUUGCACAGUUGCAUGACGAUGGAUUCCUAUAUCUUCAGUCCCUACAGCAGCUUCAUCUUCAGCACAACGAUAUUGAAUACAUCACAAAUAAUUCAUUCAACGGUUUAAUGCAACUGACUAUGUUGGAUCUAAGCUACAAUAGCAUACAUACCAUAGAAACGGGGGCGUUUCAGUAUUUCUAUGAUACCAUCAAGGAAGUAAAUCUCCGAGGUAACCAGAUCAUUGGCCUUCAUCCAUCCAUGUUACCAUGGGAACGCAUCAAUGUAAUGAUGGAGGGGAAUCCGUUAGAAUGUGAUUGUGAACUGGCUUGGGCACAACUGGCAGCUUCUAGAUCGGGAGAGCUCUUGAUAUGUACAGGACCUGAACAACUAAUCAACCGCACAGUGACUUCGCUCCAUCCCAAUGAGUUCGUUUGUGAGAAUGACAACCGGACACCAACAACCGCUGGUCUUACAGGAAUUACCCUCAUCCUGGUCAUCGUCCUUCCCAUCGCCCUCAUCAUCAUCAUCGUAAUCCUUUCUGUAGUAUGCUGCAUUGUGAAGAAACGUAAGGCGAAAAGCCGAAAAAGAAGUGUGAAAUAUAGCGCCGUAUAUAAACCUACUACUGAAGAGAAAGCACAGAUGUCAAAAACUCAAGUGAAAAAACAAAUGCCCAAAACGGAAUUGUGACAAUAGCGUGUGUCAUUCACCUCGAAUUAUUUCAGUAUUAUAAUAGUAACUAUGUAUUCUCUGCGCAGUGUUUUGAUAUCUGAGCUUUUGACCUAGGAUGGCCGUACUUUAUCAACAUUUGGAUCUUUACAAGAUAAGUCGAGCUUGACGCCAAAUCAUGCAUAUAAAAGAUCAAAAUUAGAUUAUACCAGAUAAUGCUGUUCUAAUAAUCGACUAACCAUAAUAAACAGCGCCAUCUAUAUGAGUAGAAAAACAUUCUUCCAUCAAGAAAAGUUAGAGCCAACAAACAGGACUUGUACGAGGGUUGUCCCAGAAGUAAUGCACUAUAUGCUCGAACUUUAUCAUUCGUCAUCAUUCUAUUUUAUUAAGUUAAAACUCA
rnacentral:misc_RNA from 1 species